rnacentral:lncRNA from 1 species
GGAAUGUACGGACAUCCAAGAUACCAAUCGAUGAUGUUUUGACUGGAGUAUUUUUCAUCUCCUCUUCUGGCUCCCUUAUCAGGUGCCCCGUGUGACAGCGCGUCGAAAUAAUGAAACUACGCCGGCCAUGAAAAUGCAACAACAAGUCAGUGCUCGGGAGACCCUGAUAUCAAGUGGUGACAGCCGCGUGUGUGUUUUUUUGUGGUUAGGUUUUCGCGCCAAAGAUCCUGUGAUCCUUAAAUUUAGUCCAAAUUUUGUCGUAGUGAGUGCCCAUCCUCAAAACACCAGGAGCAAUUCGGAGCUGGAGGCAGACUACCUCUCGAGUUCAAAGUUUUAAGUAGCUGAUCAAUCAACUUCAAAAGUGGAGCUUUAAUGCCCCAGUUGGAGGAGGACACGCUUGACGAGCUUUGGAUUUCUUCGAAAAUUAGAGUGACCUACGUUUACGCAUCAAAAUCUCACGGUGUUUACGGAAUCAUGGAUGAAAUCCAACCUGAACCAGAGCUGACAAUGGAUAUCGAUUCUGAGCCAGCUGAGUCUAUUGCGUCUACUUCGUUUGCAUCUACUUCAUUUGCGUCUACUUCGUUUGCGUCUACCUCACUUGCGUCUACUUCGUUUGCACCUACCUCGGUAGCGUCUACUCCGACAGAGGUCAGUCAGCUUGGAGUUGAACACUGCUUCAGGCGGGUAUGAUAUUCGAAGCCAACAGAUCUGAAACACAGAGUAAUUGUGGUGCUUCAGUUCCACAUCUCUCAUUCGAUGUACUGUUUUAUACAGAAGACACCGUUUUAUGAGUGUGAAGUUUACGCGAAAUAAAUUUAUUUCACGCGUUCAGUGUGCAUAUUAAUGCUGCCUGCUCGUAAAAAAUUAAUUUAAAUAUUUACAAAUGUUGUAUUUUUAGAAAAUUACUUUUCAGAAUGUUUCAUGUUUUUUAAAAAAAAACAUACCUCUUAUUUAGAUAGUUCGUCAAGUGUUAUAAAAUAAAUCAUUGUUCGAUUAAAAUGUUCUGCAUUCUUGUCAUUGGAAGGUGUAAACAUCAGUGGCGUGGCGUGAAUGAUCGAUUAUCGAUAUUUCCCCAUUUGAGCUGUGGUAAAGAAUCGAUUAUUAGGGUGUUCGCUGCGAACACCCUAAUAAUCGAUUCUUUACCAUAGGUUUAAAUGGUAGAUCAAUCGAUGUAUCGCAAAGCACGCCACGCCACUGGUAAACAUACAUCCCACACAAUUUCAAAUUCGGAAACUUUUAAGCAGCCAUCUGUAACUGAUCCUUUUUUUAGUAUUCUGCAAAAAUUUUGGCCGUUUUAAUUUCUUAUGUUUUUCCUCAUAACUAAUUUAUUCUCUUAAACAUAGCUUGAGAGCAAUCAGAUGAAUAAACAAUGAAGUCAAAUAAACAAUCGGACAAAUACUCUAACGGUAUGCAUGGAGUAAAAUAUUCUGCUGUGGGAUUUGAGGAGGAAAGUAAUAAUUCAUUGUUAUCGUGCAUAUAGGUUUUAAAUAUUAGCAUGGAAUUUUUUGCAAUACGAAUCAUCCAUAGAUGUAACAUGAUUCAUACAUUUCUUAUAAAUUAAUGCAGAAAAGUUCAAUUGUCAGGCGUCAACCCUAAUUCUCGCUCACACACUUUUGCAAAUUAAGGAAAGAACACAAAAUUUUAAGGGUCAGUGUGACCACUUUAUCUCGUUAAAAUUUACUUUUGUCGAAUAAAUUUCAUGCGACAUUGAAGCACGGAAUAUUUGCUUUCACGGCUAGAACCCUCCCCACUCGCCUACCCUAUUUAGCUCAGCAAUGCACAAAACAGUGCAAUGAAAGUCAUUGUUUCACCCUUUAAAUAGCUCAAAUUGCAUACGAGACUGAAUGAAGGAGUAACGAGCGCUCAAUUUUGCAACGAUAUCAGUCAUCCUCUCCGAAAUAUUUUUUAACCACCCAAUGAGCCUGUUGUGUGAUGAUACCAAAAUAAUAUGGAGAUGAUACUGAACGUUACUCGUAAACUGCAAUAAAAUUAUUAUUGCAUUAAUUCUUGCACACAGAAGUUCGCACACUUUUAUAUUUUAUACUCUUCUCAUCGAUCGCGCUCUCUCUUACACAAGUUUUCACUUUUCGCAAUGUUGUGCUGAC